rnacentral:rRNA from 1 species
UACGAAGGGGACUAGCGUUGUUCGGAAUCACUUGGCGUAAAGCGCACGUAGGCGGAUGUGUCAGUCAGGGGUGAAAUCCCGGGGCUCAACCUCGGAACUGCCUUUGAUACAGCACGUCUCGAGUCCGGAAGAGGUGGGUGGAAUUCCUAGUGUAGAGGUGAAAUUCGUAGAUAUUAGGAAGAACACCGGUGGCGAAGGCGGCCCACUGGUCCGGUACUGACGCUGAGGUGCGAAAGCGUGGGGAGCAAACAGG